rnacentral:rRNA from 1 species
AACGUAGGAGACAAACGUUAUCCGGAGUUACUGGGCGUAAAGGGCGUGUAGGUGGUUUCGUAAGUCUGGCGUGAAAUAUCUCGGCUUAACCGAGGCAGGUCGUCGGAUACUGCGGAACUAGAGGACGGUAGAGGCGUGUGGAAUUCCGGGUGUAGUGGUGAAAUGCGUAGAGAUCCGGAGGAACACCAGUGGCGAAGGCGACACGCUGGGCCGUACCUGACACUGAUGCGCGACAGCAUGGGGAGCAAAACAGG